rnacentral:tRNA from 1 species
GCAUCAGUGAUUCAGUGGUAGAAUUCUUGUCUUCCAUGCAGGAGACCCGAGUUUGAUUCCCAGCCAAUGCA